AUACGGAGGAUCCGAGCGUUAUCCGGAUUUAUUGGGUUUAAAGGGUGCGCAGGCGGCCAUUUAAGUCAGCGGUUAAAUCGUGGGGCUCAACCCCAUUCUGCCGUUGAUACUGGGUGGCUUGAUUGCGAUCGAGGUUGGCGGAAUUCGUUGUGUAGCGGUGAAAUGCAUAGAUAUGACGAAGAACACCGAUUGCGUAGGCAGCUGUCCAGACCGCAAAUGACGCUCAUGCACGAAAGUGCGGGGAUCGAACAGGAUUAGAUACCCUGGUAGUCCGCACAGUAAACGAUUAAUACUUGUUUUCGGCGAUAUAAUGUCGGAGGCAAAGCGAAAGCGAUAAGUAUUCCACCUGGGGAGUACGCCGGCAACGGUGAAACUCAAAGGAAUUGACGGGG
rnacentral:rRNA from 1 species